rnacentral:rRNA from 1 species
AUAUCAAUAAGCGGAGGAAAAGAAACCAACAGGGAUUGCCUUAGUAACGGCGAGUGAAGCGGCAACAGCUCAAAUUUGAAAGCUGGCCCUUUCAGGGUCCGCAUUGUAAUUUGUAGAGGAUGAUUCGGCGAGGGCUCCCGCCUAAGUCCCCUGGAACGGGGCGUCAUAGAGGGUGAGAAUCCCGUAUGCGGUGGGCUGCCUUAGCCAUGUGAAUCUCCUUCGACGAGUCGAGUUGUUUGGGAAUGCAGCUCUAAAUGGGAGGUAAAUUUCUUCUAAAGCUAAAUACCGGCCAGAGACCGAUAGCGCACAAGUAGAGUGAUCGAAAGAUGAAAAGCACUUUGGAAAGAGAGUUAAAAAGUACGUGAAAUUGUUGAAAGGGAAGCGCUUGCAACCAGACUUGUCCGCAGUUGCUCAGCCGGUCUCCUGACCGGCGUACUCUUCUGCGGCCAGGCCAGCAUCAGUUCGGGCGGUCGGAUAAAGACCUCGGGAAUGUAGCUCCUCUCGGGGAGUGUUAUAGCCCGGGGUGGAAUGCGGCCAGCCUGGACUGAGGAUCUCGCUUCGGCAAGGAUGCUGGCGUAAUGGUUGUAAGCGGCCCGUCUUGAAACACGGACCAAGGAGUCUAACAUCUAUGCGAGUGUUUGGGUGUCAAACCCAUACGCGUAAUGAAAGUGAACGGAGGUGGGAACCCGCAAGGGUGCACCAUCGGCCGAUCCUGAUGUCUUCGGAUGGAUUUGAGCAAGAGCAUAGCUGUUGGGACCCGAAAGAUGGUGAACUAUGCCUGAAUAGGGUGAAGCCAGAGGAAACUCUGGUGGAGGCUCGCAGCGGUUCUGACGUGCAAAUCGAUCGUCAAAUUUGGGUAUAGGGGCGAAAGACUAAUCGAACCAU